UAGUGGAAGAAAUAUUCGGUUUUUUGUCCCUUUGGACAUAGUCCUAAACAGUUAAAGGGUGAACCACUUAAAUAUAUGUGUGUCGUAUUUCUAUUUUUCCGCUGUGUUAUUAUUCUCGUAAUUUUAUUGCCGGGCCCUAACACUGUGAAGUCGCUUGAAAUAUAUAAAGAGUAUGUUUUAUCAUCACUUGGUUCCUUAAUGUAUUGAUCAUUUGGCAGAGUCUUCCAGUUUGAAGAGAUAGUUAUAAAUCAAUACUCAUUAUUAGUAUAAACUCUUAUGCAGUUUUAUUUGACACUUACUUCAAAUAACUAAGAUAAGUUCUUUAGAUAUUUUUCUGUUAAAUAUCCUCUUCCUAAGUUGGAUAUGAUUGCAAUUCCUGACUCCUUUAGGGCCAUGGAGAAUUACGGCUUAGUUACAUAUCGUAAGGCAGCCUUGCUUUUUGAUGAUAAGCAUUCUGAUGCUUAUAACAAACAGAUGGUUGCUAUUGUUGUUGCUCAUGAGCUGGCUCAUCAGUGGUUUGGCGAUCUCGUAACAAUGGAAUGGUGGACUCAUUUAUGGCUUAAUGAGGGUUUUGCCUCUUGGGUGAGCUAUCUAGCUGCUGUAACUUGUUUCCAGAAUGGAAGUUAUGGACUCAGUUUCUUGAUGAAACUGUAGAAGGACUUAGACUCGAUGCCCUUGAGAAAUCCCACCCCAUUGAGGUGGAGAUAAAGCAUGCUAGUGAGCUUCAUGAGAUUUUUGAUGCAAUAAGCUAUAACAAAGGUGCCUCUGUCAUUCGAAUGCUGGCAAGCUAUCUUGGUGCUGAACCUUUUCAGAGGUCUCUUGCUUCAUACAUAAAAAAAAUGUGCUUACUUGAAUGCAAAGACAGAAGACUUGUGGGCUGCCCUUGAGGAGGGAUCUGGCGAGCCUGUGAAUAAGUUGAUGAAUUCAUGGACAAGGUAAAAGGGGUACCCUGUUGUUUCUGUCAAACUCAAAGAUCAGAAUUUGGAAUUUGAACAGGUCUUGAUUCUGCUGCAUGUCUUUCAUCUUCUUUUUUUUUCAACGCUUAAUCUAUGAACCAUUUGAACUUCAAAAUUGCAUCCUUUAACGUAAAGGUGUAGCGAUUUCUGACACUUUUACAAGUUUCAGUUUCCUGAUACAAGUUAAUUACUUUACACUUACAACUGAAUGUAAUAACUGGCAGACACAAUUCUUGUCAAGUGGUUCCCAUGGAGAUGGGCAAUGGAUUGUCCCAAUAGCUUUAUGCUGUCGUGCAUACGAUGCACGCAAGAAUUUCUUAUUGCAAACAAAAUCUGAAACUCUCAAUGCGAAGGAAUCCGGCCUUGUAUAGAUAAACAGUUCUUGGAUAAAAAUUAAUGUGAAUCAGACUGGUUUCUAUUGGGUGAAAUAUGAUGAAGAGCUUGCGGCUAGACUUAGAUAUGCCAUAGAGAAGAAGUACCUGGCAGAAACAGACAGAUUUGUUUGGGUCACUCGACUUGCACCAAUUUGAACGUUUUAUCUUUGGUUUUAAAAAAUUGAAGCUAACAUCUAGUUGUACUUCUGAAAGGUAUUUUGGAUGAUACUUUUGCCCUUUCUAUGGCUGGUCACCAAUCUUUGACGUCUUCGCUUACUCUGAUGGAAGCUUACAGCGAAGAACUUGAAUAAGUUAUAAAGUUACACGUAUUGUAGGAGAUGCAACCCCUGAAUUAUUGGAGGACAUUAACCAAUUUUUUAUUAACCUCUUCCACUACACUGUGGAUUAGCUUCUAUUUGAGAAGACUAAGGAAGUGGAAGAGUUCUUUGCAAGCCGCACUAAGCCUGCAAUUGCUAGAACCGUGAAGCAGAGUAUUGUGAGGGUCAAAAUUAACGCAGCGUGGGUUCACUGUGCUCAGAAUGAGAAGCAACUUCCGGAGGCUGUGAAGGAAUUUGCAAACAGGAAAUACUAGGGAUGCAUUUUCCUUUAAGAAAUUUCUCAAAUGCUUGUGACAAUUUGCAAAAAAUAAGAACACUGUGUGACUGUAGAUGCCAUGGGCAACCCAUGUACAAAUGGACAUAUUCUGGACCUUAUGCUUGUUCCACAUUGUUCAUUGUUUUAAUUUGAAUCUUGUGUUUAUUACAAAUCAACAAACUAUUACUCUAUUUAAUUUAAUUGUUUAUUCCAGUUGAUAGCAGAAGACCGAUAGCAAUUACUUGAUUAAUGUCGGUGUAUAUAGAGAGCUCUUUUCAUAA